AUUUGUAAUCGUUUUGGACUUAUUCACCGACCUUACAGCAGACCUACUCGCAAACCCUGGAGUUGACAGGGCAUCGGCCUAUAUUAUCAAGCGUCAGAAGCAGCGGGCCAAGCUAGAAGGCGAAGGCUUCUCCGCAACUACUAAUUCGUUUUCUUCAUCCUGAGUCUUGGUGAAGCACGAGAACCAGAGAACAAAUCUUGAUCGUUAUAAAAGACACCACGAAGACUCGAGUUCUGAUCCAAUUUUGCUUAUUAGCGAAAAAUCGGUUUAGGCCAAAAGACAUGGUUUGCUCCACUUUUCUCAAAUUGAGAUCACUGCUAUGAGCGAGAAAGACUCCACUAAGAAGCGUUGUUAGCCUUCUCUUAUACCGCUUUCUCUCUCUCUCUCUAUAUAUAUAUCUUAUGGAGUUGAUCGAUUCAAUAAGUAGAUGCUGUGAUCGGAUUGAAUAUCUAUGGAGUGCCACUGAGUUAAAGGUACUGGGUACGGUGUGGAUCUAAGCUUGGUUUGUGCAAGCGGAGUUUGAAUAGCAAAGAGGUCCCUCCACCGAUCAAGGAUCAACAAUCUUGUUUCGGCUCUCUGUAUAAAGAAAUUUGUACACAUCAAAAGAAAAGAUCAUAAGAGAUCGUUUGUUUCCAAAGAAACUAAGAAAAUUCCUAAAGCUUAAACAUGGAAGCCUCUGCCAUUACCAAGAUCCUAUGCGGUUAUAAGUUUCACCCCACUGACCCAGAGUUGAUUCACUAUCUUUCGUGCAAGACUAAUGAAGCACCGUUGCCAUGCCAGGGUGUUGUCAAUGAUGUAUUUGACCUUUACGGCAAAGAGCCGUCUGAGCUUUUUCAGGGAUUCAAAGAGAAGAUUCUUUAUUUCUUCAAUGAAAAGGGCUCCAGGAUUAGUCGUGUGAAAUUUUACUUAUGGAGUUGUUUGGCAAAUUCGUUCACCCAAUAGUUGCAUUCUUCUUGUUGCAAGUCCUUCUGUGAUCAAGUUGCAGUUUUCUGGUUGCAAGGCUAUUGGUUCCGGUUCGAUUCCUUUGGUAUAAAGUUGCAGUCUUCUAGUUGAGGCCAUUGGAUCUGGUUCGAUUCCUUCUUUGAUCAAGUUGCAGUUUUCUGUUUAAAUUAGUAUGACUUGUGGUUCAAUAGUUGCUUUUAUGAUCGCGUUGCAGGCCUCUGCUGCCACUUCCCUUUUUUGUCGUUUAAUUUGGGAAAUUACAUAAUCUUUUACUUUUGCUCUUUUCACUUUUUAGAUUAGUGAUGCCAAUAUUGUACUCGGUCAUGCUCCAUCCACUCUUUUUAGGAUCAGACUCGACAUAAUAAGUAAAAUUUCUCUUCAUUCCAAUCAUUGUUUCUUCUCCUUCUCCUUCAUUACCAGUAACACCAUCUUUGAUAUCUUUAGCCUUGUCUUGGCCCUUCCAAUUACCAAUCCUCUUCACACCACUAAUCCUGGAGCCCUUUUCUUAUACGUCUUUAUAUAUAUAUAUAUAUGAGCGAGAAAGACUCUACUAAGAAGCAGAUGUUGUGAUCGGAUUGACUAUCUAUGGAGUGCCACUGAGUUAAAGGUACUGGAUAUUGUGUGGAUCUAGGCUUGGUUUGUGCAAGCGGAGUCUGAAUAGCAUAGAGUUCCCUCCACCAGUCAAGGAUCAACAACAAUCUUGUUUCAGCUUUCUCUAUAAAAAAAUUUGCACACAUCAAAAGGAAAGAUCAUAGGAGAUCGUUUGUUUCCAACGAAAACUCAAGAAAAUUCGUAAACAUGGAAGCCUCUGCCAUUACCCAGAUUCUAUGCAGCUAUAAGUUUCACCCCACUGACCAGGAGUUGAUUCACUAUCUUUCGUGCAAGGCCAAUGAAGCACCAUUGCCAUGCCAGGGUGUUGUCAAUGACGUAUUCGACCUUUACGGCAAAGAAUCGUCCGAGCUUUUCCAGGGAUCCAAAGAGAAGAUUCUUUAUUUCUUCACUAAGUUGAAGAAGAAGCAUGAAAAGGGCUUCAGGAUUAGUCGUGUGAUGAGGAUUAGUAAUUGGAAGGGCGAAGACAAGGCUAAAAAUAUCAGAGAUGGUGUUACUGGAAAUAAAGAAGAAGGAGAAGAAACAGUGAUUGAAAUGAAGAGAAAUUUUACUUAUUAUGUCAAGUCUGAUCCUAAGAAGAGUGGAUGGAGCAUGACCGAAAGGCGGCACUAAUCUGAAAAGAGCAAAAGUAAAAGAUUAUGUCAUUUUCUGAAUUAAACGACAAAAAGAAGGUGCAAUGGAAGUGGCAGCAGAGGCCUGCAACACGAUCAUAGCAGCAUCAAUUGAACCCCAAGUCAUAGUAAUACAACCAGGAAACUGCAACUUGAUCAAAGAAGGAAUCGAACCAGAACCAAUGGCCUUGCAAUCAGAAGACCGCGACUUUAUCACAGAAGGAAUCGAACCGGAACCAAUAGCCUUGCAACCAGAAAACUGCAACUUGAUCACAGAAGGAAUCGAAAUGGAACCAAUAAUGGCCUUGCAACCAGAAGAAUGCAACUAUUGGGUGAACGAAUUUACCAAACAACUCCUCCAGAAUCAAGAAGAAAUAGGAGAGGGUGAAACAGUGUUGCUGCCAAAUAUUUUUUAUGGUGGUAGUUGGUGCUUUUCAGAGAAUGAUGUAACCAUUUUUUGAAUUGGUGAGAAUUUGGGUCAACUUUUCAGUUUUAGCAACUGUCUGUUGGGUUUUGCUAAUAGAAGGUAGGGUUUUGAUGGUGUUUGAUGUGAAUUUCUAGAACUGAUUAUGAUUGCGUAACUUUGGUUCAUGGAAUUUUGCUAGUAAAUGGUGCUUAUUUUUGGGCUUCAA